AGGUGGGAAGGCGAGCAAGGAAAGCGGCGAGAGAAGUUUAUGACCUAUUGUUGUCCCCUGCGCAUAGGCGCAGCGCAGCAGCCGGUUCCUUCCCUGGGAGGGCAGGCUGAUAAGGCAGGGCGAGGGAAAUCGGUCCCUGGAGACCGACUGCAACCGAGACGUGGUCGCGCAGGGAGUUGCGGGGGGGAUGGAAAGUUACGGGAGCUCCAGAUCUGACAUCGAGACUCCUUCGAAGCGCAAGAGGCGGAAGGGCAAGGCGAAAACUCCAGAUUCCUUUGGUCUGCUGAAACAUAAGAAAUGAGCCCCAGAGAUGGAGUGAAUCGCUGCAGCUAACCAGUGCGUCUGUUUGUACCGCUUCAACGCAUUAGAGCGACAGUGUCGUUUCACCAGGUCAUGUUUGCUCAGCGCUGUUCACUGCCCACUGAGUUCACUGGAUCUGGUUCUCAAGAAUGACUGUAAAACAACAUACUAACACAGACAAAGGAGCAGCACAGGAAAAACAGCAGUAUCCGGACAUUAUUCAACGCAGCAUGAAAAUGGCGUUUGAAAUAAAUAACUCUUGAUGAUUGCCCUCCAAAACGCAACCAAAAGAUCAUCCUGCCAGAUUCCUUGGCAGAGCAUUCCAUGAACUGGGUGUCAUGAUAGAAAAGGCCCUGUUUGUCACACCCAAGUUCCAAUAUGAUGGUAGACAGCAGGGCUUGAAAUAUUGAUAGCAUCUUACUAUGGGGAGGAGGAGGGUGUUCUCAUGCUAUUUUUCCCCUAGCAUAAUAAACAGCUUAGGUCCAAGGUAUUUAAGAGAAUGCUUUCUUCUUCUUCAUCAACCCCACCACCUAUUAAUAGCAUCUGAGGAAGUCCAGUUGCAGUUGCUACAGACUCGAUUGGUGGCAAAUUGAAACAGGGCCUUUUCUAGAGUUGCCCCAGGACUCUGGAAUGUGCUUCCUAAUGUAAUUACAGUUUUCCCUUCUCUGAAAGUUUUUAAGAAGGACCUGAAAACAUACCUACUUAGCCAGGUUUUUAGUUUAUAGUUUUAAAGCUUCAGGUUUUAGAAUAUUUAUUUUUAUUUUAAAAUUGUUGUAAUUGUGUCUAUGUUUUAAUGGUUUUUAGGUUGUG